GACGAACGCUGGCGGCGUGCUUAACACAUGCAAGUCGAGCGGUAAGGCCCUUUCGGGGGUACGACGAGCGGCGAACGGGUGAGUAACACGUGGGUGACCUGCCCUCAGCUCUGGGAUAAGCCUGGGAAACCGGGUCUAAUACUGGAUAUGACUCCAUGACGCAUGUUGUGGGGUGGAAAGCCUUGUGCGGCUGAGGAUGGGCCCGCGGCCUAUCAGCUUGUUGGUGGGGUGANGGCCUACCAAGGCGACGACGGGUAGCCGGCCUGAGAGGGCGACCGGCCACACUGGGACUGAGACACGGCCCAGACUCCUACGGGAGGCAGCAGUGGGGAAUCUUGCGCAAUGGGCGAAAGCCUGACGCAGCGACGCCGCGUGAGGGAUGACGGCCUGGUUGUAACU
rnacentral:rRNA from 1 species